ensembl:lncRNA
GUCUAAACCAGGACUAAACCAGGUCUAAACCAGGACUAAACCAGGACUAAACCAGGACUAAACCAGGUCUAAACCAGGACUAAACCAGGUCUAAACCAGGACUAAACCAGGUCUAAACCAGGUCUAAACCAGGACUAAACCAGGUCUAAACCAGGACUAAACCAGGACUAAACCAGGACUAAACCAGGACUAAACCAGGUCUAAACCAGGACUAAACCAGGUCUAAACCAGGACUAAACCAGGACUAAACCAGGUCUAAACCAGGUCUAAACCAGGUCUAAACCAGGACUAAACCAGGUCUAAACCAGGACUAAACCAGGACUAAACCAGGUCUAAAUCAGGACUAAACCAGGACUAAACCAGGUCUAAACCAGGACUAAACCAGGUCUAAAUCAGGACUAAACCAGGACUAAACCAGGUCUAAACCAGGACUAAACCAGGACUAAACCAGGUCUAAACCAGGACUGAACCAGGACUAAACCAGGACUAAACCAGG